GACGAACGCUGGCGGCGUGCUUAACACAUGCAAGUCGAACGGAAAGGCCCUGCUUUUGUGGGGUGCUCGAGUGGCGAACGGGUGAGUAACACGUGAGUAACCUGCCCUUGACUUUGGGAUAACUUCAGGAAACUGGUGCUAAUACCUGAUAGGAGCUCCUGCUGCAUGGUGGGGGUUGGAAAGCUUCGGCGGGUGGGGAUGGACUCGCGGCUUAUCAGCUUGUUGGUGGGGUAGUGGCUUACCAAGGCUUUGACGGGUAGCCGGCCUGGGAGGGUGGCCGGCCACAUGGGGACUGAGAUACGGACCAGACUCCUACGGGAGGCAGCAGUGGGGAAUAUUGCACAAUGGGCGGAAGCCUGAUGCAGCGACGCCGCGUGCGGGAUGACUGCCUUCGGGUUGUAAACCGCUUUCGCCUGUGACGAAGCGUGAGUGACGGUAAUGGGUAAAGAAGCACCGGCUAACUACGUG
rnacentral:rRNA from 1 species